rnacentral:misc_RNA from 1 species
CCCGCAUAUUGUCUGAUAAAAGCUCUUCUCCACCAAACCUCAAAUGCUCUUUGAAUAUUGGGGCAGUCAUCCCCCUUGUUAAGGAAUCGAUCAAACCAUUUUAGCUUCAGCAUAAUAGCCUGUUGUUGCAGCAAUGGUAAGGUAAGAAUUGUCCGCCCUAGUCCAUCCUCAACUAGUUUCUUAUCAACAGAUUUACAAGCCCUCCUUAUCCAUCCAAAGUCUUCAUAAAGAGCUUCCAACCAGGUUGACAACAAGGAAAACCGAGUUUCUUUUGGUACCAAGAUUUGUCCUCUCCCAAUGGCAAUGCAUAGUUGUGCAGUAAUCUUGCUGAUUUCAUGUCGGUAAAUGGUAGGAAUCUU